UUUGAGGCGCUUAGUCAAAAGAACCAAGCUUGUACCCAGAAUAAAGAUGGCAGUGAUACAGAGGAUGAUAAUGAUGACGAUGGAGAUGCUGAGGAUCAGGAUGAUGACGAUGAUGCAAAUGAUGAAGAUUUCUCAGGUGAAGAAGGGGGAGAUGACGAAGAAGAAGAAGGAGAUCCUGAGGAGGAUCCUGCAGCUAAUGGCAACGAAGGGAGUGAUGACGAUGAUGAGGAUGAUGAGGAUGGUGAUGAAGGGGGUGAUGACGACGACGAUGAUGAUGAUGGUGAUGAGGAAGAGGAAGAAGACGAGGAGGAAGACGAGGAUCAACCACCUGCCAAAAAGAGAAAGUGAAGUGUUUGUUAGAUGUUUAUAUUCUGCUUCUCUAUCAUGGUUGAGGAGAGUAUGUAGUGGAAAGAGAAGGGGAGG
rnacentral:lncRNA from 1 species